rnacentral:misc_RNA from 1 species
GAAUAUUUUCUGAUUUUGGCUCUCCUUGAAAAUAAGGAAAUUGUGAUCUAAUUGACUCCUUAAUUUAUUCUAUUUCCCUUAUUAUGCUCCCCUCUUCUACUAUAUAAACUAGACCCCCUCCUCACAUUCACUUACUCAUUCACUCACAUUGACUCUCUAACAAGCUUUUCUCACUACUCUCACAUCUUGAGAAGAGCUCACAUUUUUCCAACUCACACUAAACUCAUUCAUUCUCUCUCUCAACACAAGAACUAGA